UACGUAGGGUGCAAGCGUUAAUCGGAAUUACUGGGCGUAAAGCGUGCGCAGGCGGCUUUGCAAGACAGAUGUGAAAUCCCCGGGCUUAACCUGGGAACUGCACUUGUGACUGCAUGGCUAGAGUGCGGCAGAGGGGGAUGGAAUUCCGCGUGUAGCAGUGAAAUGCGUAGAUAUGCGGAGGAACACCGAUGGCGAAGGCAAUCCCCUGGGCCUGCACUGACGCUCAUGCACGAAAGCGUGGGGAGCAAACAGG
rnacentral:rRNA from 1 species